rnacentral:rRNA from 1 species
GACGGUACUCCGAGGUAGGGGUAAAUCUUGAUCCCGAGACACAGUGCGAGUCGUCCGCAGAUCGCGCUCGACGUGAGGAUGAAGCUGGGGGAGCGAACCGGAUUAGAUACCCGGGUAGUCCCAGCCGUAAACGAUGCGAGCUAGGUGACACAACGCCUUUCGGGGCGUUGUGGUGCCGCAGGGAAGCCGUUAAGCUCGCCGCCUGGGGAGUACGGACGCAAGUCUGAAACUUAAAGGAAUUGGCGGGGGAGCACCACAAGGGGUGAAGCCUGCGGUUCAAUUGGAGUCAACGCCGGGAAUCUUACCGGGAGCGACAGCAGAUUGAAGGUCAAGCUGAAGACUUUACCAGACGAGCUGAGAGGAGGUGCAUGGCCGUCGCCAGCUCGUGCCGUGAGGCGUCCUGUUAAGUCAGGCAACGAGCGAGACCCCUACUUCUAAUUGCUUUAACAGACAUCGCAAGGUGUUUGUGGCUAGUUAGAAGGACUGCCGCCGCUAAGGCGGAGGAAGGAAGGGGCCACGGCAGGUCAGUAUGCCCCGAAACUCCCGGGCCACACGCGGGCUGCAAUGGUAAGGACAAUGGGUUCCGAUCUCGAAAGAGCUAGGCAAUCCCCAAACCUUACCCCAGUUGUGACUGAGGGCUGUAACCCGCCCUCACGAAUCUGGAAUCCCUAGUAACCGCGUGUCACCAUCGCGCGGUGAAUACGUCCCUGCUCCUUGUACUCACCCCCGUC